UAUGCACACUAUUAAAGCCGGGCACCGAUGUCGGUGUUCAGGUGUCGGACGUGUGCGAUAGUGAGCAGGCCGGGUUUUCGCUAACACCAUUAGGACAACUGUCCCAUGACUGGAGUUUGAUAGUGACCUGUGCCACAGUU